ACACUCCCAUAGAUUUCAAACUAUAGCAAAGCUUUAUGACACCCGUCGUAAAUUUCUCAAAAAAUCUAAGAAGGCGUUAUAAGAUCUAAUGUUUAAAUCGAAACUGAUCGAUUGUAAUUUUAUCUCAUCGAGCGAUCGCAUUAAUACUUCUCAACACAGUCGAAUUUGAAUAAGAUAAUUUGUCAUCUGUACAGGACUGGAUCAAUCAAUCCUUACUUGGCAGUUUCCGGAAUUUGUGAAAGUUAAAACGCUCAGUUCUACAAGCCGGCAUUACGAAGCGAACGCCGAACUAGACCCUGAAAAUGGUCCAAAUUAGCUGUUUUAUUCAAUUUUUCUCCAUAUCCACGCGGAAAUAUCUCUUCUUCGCCUGAUGUGGUUAAUCACCAGCAGGUUACACUUCCUGCAGGUUUUUAUUCCUCGAUUUUGUCCACUUUACUUCCUCUACUUAAUGGAUGUAUAGUGGAGACGAAGGAGUAAAUAACAGAUACGAUAAUUAAUUGAUUUAGCAUCGCAGCGUCUUUUGGAAAGAUGCAGGGUAUAAAGUCGAGCUUGGCUCGGAGCUUCUAGAUAGUUGAGACCUCUGCGACAUCACGAAAACCUUCUUGGAUACCA